AAAGCACAAACUAACCUUUUUAUUCUCGCCUCGUCGUCGUCUCUCAGACUUCUUCGUUUCUUCCGUCAAAUCAAAAAUGGUAGACACCGUCGAAGCUCUCAUCGAACAACUGAUUGAUAGAGCUUCCGGCUGGGCUCAACUCGGGUACUGGCAUAUAGGUCAAGAGGAGGAUAUUCGUCAAGCUCUGGAACUAAGUGUGGUGAAGACUCUGCUGAGAGUUUAGCGAUAUAUCUCAAAAAUGGGAAGCGUUUGCUUGAGGCGUCUAAAGGAGAGAUUGGCGAACGUGAACGAUCUGUUCUUGUUGAUUUAGCAUGUGAGAUGCUCAAAUCUGCAAGGAAGAUUGUUCUUCUUGGGAGAAGAAAGCUCUUUUCACCAAAAGAAAUAAGUUGAGAGAGUCAUAACUUGGCUUGGUGACAGCUUAUUUGUCUUGGCUCUUAAGAAUUUUAAAGAAGCUCUGCAGAUGCUUGAGCAUACCUCCUUCUCUCCAAAUGCUUGAGCAUACCUCCUUCUCUCCAAACCAGGCUAAGCUGUGUGCUCUUUUUACUCUUGUUUUAUCCAUGUUUGUUUGUGUGUGCUUGUUUGUUGACGUCUUGAUGCUCUGAAACACUGCGAAAUAAGUGUUGCCAUGUCCAAAGAGUUGAUCAAGAAGAUGAAGACUGUCGAUGAGUACUUUGGCUCAGAAGAAGCUUAAAGUUUGUGCUAGGGAUGUUGAAGGAGAAAGAGAAGAGGAACCUGCUACCUUUUUGGCCAAGAAGAGGAGGCUGGAAGAUGUGAUGUCUUUGACCCGUGAAUCGGAAGAUACUUAGUAGUAAAAAAUAGAAGAGAGGGUUUAUUUUCUUUUGUCUCAUCAACCCAACUGUUCAUGCAUAGACAUAGACUUCUCUGUUAAAUAAUCUAACCUAAAAAAAAAAGCAAAGACAAGACUUGAUU